GCCAGGCGGGGUGGUGCACGCCUGUAGUCCUAGCUACUUGGGAGGCUGAGGCAGGAGAAUCGCUUGAACCUGGGAGAUGGAGGUUGCAGUGAGCCAAGAUCCUGCCACUGCACUCCAGCCUGGGUGAUAGAGUGAGAUCCUGUCUUAA
rnacentral:SRP_RNA from 1 species